rnacentral:rRNA from 1 species
UUAAGCGACUAAGCGUACACGGUGGAUGCCCUGGCAGUCAGAGGCGAUGAAGGACGUGCUAAUCUGCGAUAAGCGUCGGUAAGGUGAUAUGAACCGUUAUAACCGGCGAUUUCCGAAUGGGGAAACCCAGUGUGAUUCGUCACACUAUCAUUAACUGAAUCCAUAGGUUAAUGAGGCGAACCGGGGGAACUGAAACAUCUAAGUACCCCGAGGAAAAGAAAUCAACCGAGAUUCCCCCAGUAGCGGCGAGCGAACGGGGAGGAGCCCAGAGCCUGAAUCAGUGUGUGUGUUAGUGGAAGCGUCUGGAAAGGCGCGCGAUACAGGGUGACAGCCCCGUACACAAAAAUGCACAUACUGUGAGCUCGAUGAGUAGGGCGGGACACGUGGUAUCCUGUCUGAAUAUGGGGGGACCAUCCUCCAAGGCUAAAUACUCCUGACUGACCGAUAGUGAACCAGUACCGUGAGGGAAAGGCGAAAAGAACCCCGGCGAGGGGAGUGAAAAAGAACCUGAAACCGUGUACGUACAAGCAGUGGGAGCCUCUUAAUGGGGUGACUGCGUACCUUUUGUAUAAUGGGUCAGCGACUUAUAUUCUGUAGCAAGGUUAACCGAAUAGGGGAGCCGAAGGGAAACCGAGUCUUAACUGGGCGUUAAGUUGCAGGGUAUAGACCCGAAACCCGGUGAUCUAGCCAUGGGCAGGUUGAAGGUUGGGUAACACUAACUGGAGGACCGAACCGACUAAUGUUGAAAAAUUAGCGGAUGACUUGUGGCUGGGGGGGAAAGGCCAAUCAAACCGGGAGAUAGCUGGUUCUCCCCGAAAGCUAUUUAGGUAGCGCCUCGUGAAUUCAUCUCCGGGGGUAGAGCACUGUUUCGGCAAGGGGGUCAUCCCGACUUACCAACCCGAUGCAAACUGCGAAUACCGGAGAAUGUUAUCACGGGAGACACACGGCGGGUGCUAACGUCCGUCGUGAAGAGGGAAACAACCCAGACCGCCAGCUAAGGUCCCAAAGUCAUGGUUAAGUGGGAAACGAUGUGGGAAGGCCCAGACAGCCAGGAUGUUGGCUUAGAAGCAGCCAUCAUUUAAAGAAAGCGUAAUAGCUCACUGGUCGAGUCGGCCUGCGCGGAAGAUGUAACGGGGCUAAACCAUGCACCGAAGCUGCGGCAGCGACGCUUAUGCGUUGUUGGGUAGGGGAGCGUUCUGUAAGCCUGUGAAGGUGGCCUGUGAGGGUUGCUGGAGGUAUCAGAAGUGCGAAUGCUGACAUAAGUAACGAUAAAGCGGGUGAAAAGCCCGCUCGCCGGAAGACCAAGGGUUCCUGUCCAACGUUAAUCGGGGCAGGGUGAGUCGACCCCUAAGGCGAGGCCGAAAGGCGUAGUCGAUGGGAAACAGGUUAAUAUUCCUGUACUUGGUGUUACUGCGAAGGGGGGACGGAGAAGGCUAUGUUGGCCGGGCGACGGUUGUCCCGGUUUAAGCGUGUAGGCUGGUUUUCCAGGCAAAUCCGGAAAAUCAAGGCUGAGGCGUGAUGACGAGGCACUACGGUGCUGAAGCGACAAAUGCCCUGCUUCCAGGAAAAGCCUCUAAGCAUCAGGUAACAUUAAAUCGUACCCCAAACCGACACAGGUGGUCAGGUAGAGAAUACCAAGGCGCUUGAGAGAACUCGGGUGAAGGAACUAGGCAAAAUGGUGCCGUAACUUCGGGAGAAGGCACGCUGAUAUGUAGGUGAAGCGACUUGCUCGUGGAGCUGAAAUCAGUCGAAGAUACCAGCUGGCUGCAACUGUUUAUUAAAAACACAGCACUGUGCAAACACGAAAGUGGACGUAUACGGUGUGACGCCUGCCCGGUGCCGGAAGGUUAAUUGAUGGGGUUAGCGGUAACGCGAAGCUCUUGAUCGAAGCCCCGGUAAACGGCGGCCGUAACUAUAACGGUCCUAAGGUAGCGAAAUUCCUUGUCGGGUAAGUUCCGACCUGCACGAAUGGCGUAAUGAUGGCCAGGCUGUCUCCACCCGAGACUCAGUGAAAUUGAACUCGCUGUGAAGAUGCAGUGUACCCGCGGCAAGACGGAAAGACCCCGUGAACCUUUACUAUAGCUUGACACUGAACAUUGAGCCUUGAUGUGUAGGAUAGGUGGGAGGCUUUGAAGUGUGGACGCCAGUCUGCAUGGAGCCGACCUUGAAAUACCACCCUUUAAUGUUUGAUGUUCUAACGUGGGCCCCUUACCGGGGUUGCGGACAGUGUCUGGUGGGUAGUUUGACUGGGGCGGUCUCCUCCUAAAGAGUAACGGAGGAGCACGAAGGUUGGCUAAUCCUGGUCGGACAUCAGGAGGUUAGUGCAAUGGCAUAAGCCAGCUUGACUGCGAGCGUGACGGCGCGAGCAGGUGCGAAAGCAGGUCAUAGUGAUCCGGUGGUUCUGAAUGGAAGGGCCAUCGCUCAACGGAUAAAAGGUACUCCGGGGAUAACAGGCUGAUACCGCCCAAGAGUUCAUAUCGACGGCGGUGUUUGGCACCUCGAUGUCGGCUCAUCACAUCCUGGGGCUGAAGUAGGUCCCAAGGGUAUGGCUGUUCGCCAUUUAAAGUGGUACGCGAGCUGGGUUUAGAACGUCGUGAGACAGUUCGGUCCCUAUCUGCCGUGGGCGCUGGAGAACUGAGGGGGGCUGCUCCUAGUACGAGAGGACCGGAGUGGACGCAUCACUGGUGUUCGGGUUGUCAUGCCAAUGGCACUGCCCGGUAGCUAAAUGCGGAAGAGAUAAGUGCUGAAAGCAUCUAAGCACGAAACUUGCCCCGAGAUGAGUUCUCCCUGACUCCUUGAGAGUCCUGAAGGAACGUUGAAGACGACGACGUUGAUAGGCCGGGUGUGUAAGCGCAGCGAUGCGUUGAGCUAACCGGUACUAAUGAACCGUGAGGCUUAACCUU